rnacentral:misc_RNA from 1 species
AGGUGAUGAGGAGGUUGAUAUUGGUGGCAAUGAGCGUCCGGUCUCAAGCUAUCCUCCUUUUGAGAUAGAAAAGGAUGCAGGUCACAAGGGCAGUAAAUGUAUCAGUUCAGGAAGUUCCAGUGACUCUGACUCUGAUAGUUCUUCUGAAAGUGAAUUUGAUGAUGCUAAAGCUUUGACUCCAGUAGCUGCAACAAAGGCUCCCGAAAACCUGGGCUGGGGAGCUCAAUUUGAUGAUAAAGCAAGUGCUGGUGAUCCGUUGGAGUUAUAUCAGUCAUGUCCAGAAUCUGUUAGUGGGUUG